rnacentral:rRNA from 1 species
UGCUUGGUGGUCAUAGCGCCUGUGACCCACCCGAUCCCAUCUCGAACUCGGCCGUGAAACCAGGUAGCGCCGAUGGUACUAGAGCUUAAGCCCUGGAAGAGUAGGUCGCCGCCAGGCAU